GAGUUUGAUUCUGGCUCAGGAUGAACGCUGACAGAAUGCUUAACACAUGCAAGUCAACUUGAACGUGGGUUUUUAACUUAGGUUUGGGUGGCGGACGGGUGAGUAACGCGUAAAGAACUUGCCUCACAGAUAGGGACAACAUUUAGAAAUGAAUGCUAAUACCUAAUAUUAUGAAAAUAGGGCAUCCUAUAAUUAUGAAAGCUAAAUGCGCUGUGAGAGAGCUUUGCGUCCCAUUAGCUAGUUGGAGAGGUAACGGCUCACCAAGGCGAUGAUGGGUAGCCGGCCUGAGAGGGUGAACGGCCACAAGGGGACUGAGACACGGCCCUUACUCCUACGGGAGGCAGCAGUGGGGAAUAUUGGACAAUGGACCAAGAGUCUGAUCCAGCAAUUCUGNGUGCACGAUGAAGUUUUUCGGAAUGUAAAGUGCUUUCAGUUGGGAAGAAAAGAAUGACCGGUACCACC
rnacentral:rRNA from 1 species